rnacentral:lncRNA from 1 species
CCCACAAAUCAAACCAUUUGCAAACCCUUUUCUUCUUGUCGUACAUUCGCCACGGAAAAUGCGGAAAAACAGUUCCAAGUAUGUUGGAGUGCUUCUUAUUCUGAUGCUUGCCUUUGUAUUGGCCCAAGUGCAAUGCCGCAGGCUGCUAGAUAACGGUGACGAAGGAGAGUAUGAUGGUAAUGAUGGCCGUGGUGGUUCUGGUGGAGGAUUUGGCAAUGGUGCUGGUGCUGGUGGAGGAAUAGGUGCCGGUGGUGGAGCUGGUGCUGGUGCCGGGGCUGGUGGAGGGUUUGGAGGAGGUAAAGGUGGAGGUAUAGGCAGUGGUGGUGGCGCUGGAGGGUUCGGAGGAGGUAAAGGUGGAGGAAUAGGCGGUGGUGGAGGAGUAGGCGGCGGCGGUGGUGCUGGAGGUGGGUUUGGAGGAGGAAAUGGUGGAGGUAUCGGCGGCGGAAAGGGUGGUGGCGUUGGAGGAGGCAAUGGUGGAGGCUUUGGAGGAGGCAAAGGUGGAGGAGUCGGAGGCGGGGCUGGUGGUGGCUUUGGAGGUGGAUCCGGAGGUGGCGUUGGAGGUGGUAAAGGUGGCGGAGUAGGAGGCGGUUCCGGUGGUGGCGGAGGCGCUGGUGGUGGCUUUGGAGGAGGCAAAGGUGGCGGAGUAGGAGGCGGUGCCGGGGGNNNNNNNNNNNNNNNNNNNNNNNNNNNNNNNNNNNNNNNNNNNNNNNNNNNNNNNNNNNNNNNNNNNNNNNNNNNNNNNNNNNNNNNNNNNNNNNNNNNNNNNNNNNNNNNNNNNNNNNNNNNNNNNNNNNNNNNNNNNNNNNNNNNNNNNNNNNNNNNNNNNNNGCGAUGUGGUAAAGGUGGUGGAGUGGGAGUAGGUGCUGGGUUUGGAGGAGGCGUCGGUGGUGGCGGAGGCUCCGGCGGGAAUGGAGGAAUUUGAGAUGGUCAUUAAGUGCAAUACAUGAAUGGAUUCUACAUGAAUGGAUUCUAUAUGUCAUCAGAUAAUGUGUAAUAUGAAGCUUAUCAAUCAAUAAAAUGAAGUAACGAGUUUAUCUUAAUUAAUCAAUUACUUUCCCAUCUCACCAAUUUGCGAAGUUUCAUUAUAUAUAAUUUGUACAGAUAAAAAAGUGAAAACAAUCUAGAUACCAUUGCGACGGCGAGGCCUGCGUCGGUUGCGUGGCCCCUUGAAAAGUCCAAAAAAAUUUCACCAAAGUCCGGCCUUUCCUCAAGAUAGUAUUUGGAUCUCUUUAAUUCCAACAAAGUCCAAUAUUUUGUUUUACAGGUGUUUCAAAAGAAAAUUGUCACGAUUGACAAUCUAUAAAGAAGAAGAUUUCAUCUAACAAAUAGGUGUGCUCUGUGUGGCAACAACAAAAAGACCAUAAAUCACCUAUUUCUUCAGUGUCAGUUUACUAGUAGAAUCUAAAACCUCGUGAGUUCAGCACUUUCCUUGUACGGACCCUUGUCGCUAGAUGUGAUCGGGCUCAUCUCGUCCUGAAAAGGUAUAAAUUAUAAGCAGAGAUUUCGGAAGGCUAUUUCUCCUCUUCUCCAUUCCAUCCCGUGGCACGUGUGGAAGAAACACAAUGACAGAAUAUUUAAGAAUCAACACACGUACCCUCGUAUGAUUUUCCGUAAGACAAUGCUUGCGGUUGGGAAUUGGCUUUCAGGUUUUGGACAAUUCUCUAAGGUUUGCAAUGCCUCAUGACGUCGUCUGAUUUUUUAUGUUGAUUAGAUCAUUUGUGUUUUAUCCCAUUUUGCUUGGCGGCGUUUGCAAAUCAGAUGAUAGCGGAGGGUGUAUUUUCUGGGUUGGUUUGGCAGGUGAUGGGUUCGGGUAUCCGGUCCACGUUUUUUUGCUACAGUCUGCACCUGCCUUUUCCUUCUGGUUUGCCUGAAAUUGAUUCUCGUAUUUUUGGUUGCUUCCCUUCGUUCGUCACGAUUUUUCGUGGCUUUGCUGGACUUUAUGGGUAAUUAUGAGAACGUUUUUUUGGAGCUUGCUGCUGUCAUUAUUAAUAGGUUUGGUGGUUUUGUGGGAUGUGUUUACGUUGCUGACAUAUAGUAACCUUGUAUAUAGUAACCUUGUAUAUAAUUACCUUUUUUAUAUAUUAUUAAUUUAAUUAAAAAAAAGUGAAAACAAUAUUCAUUUAUAGUGUAUGUUGAAUUCUAACUAAACGCAAUUUAAAUUUUAAUAUAUAUCCUAUAUAAAUUAAGUAAUCAACUAAUGCAAAUAUAUGUUUUCGAGAAAAAAAACCAAUGCAAAUAUAUACUUUUGGAAAUUAGUAAAUAGAGUUUAGAGGUGCAAUCAUUUUAGUUUAGACAUUGAUAUACAUUUUAAAAUAAUAUAAAGUUUAUAAGAAUAUCAAAACUGCUAACAUCAGCUUUUGCGUAAAACAACACCGUUUUAUGAGCCUGCUCUAUCUUCCUGUGUUUAUCCUUCAAUCCACCAACGACAACGGCCACAAACUCCUUCCGCUCAAUCUCACGCCGACUGUCAGAUUGGUACAGAACUCCCUAUUCGAUUCAACUUCCACUUUACUGCCCAUUGAUUCUAGCGGAGUAAUUAAGAACUUGCAAUUUCGAAUCAGUUGUUGUAGGAAAAGGUAUCUUUCCCCAUCUUCCAUUGAUGGGGCUGCUCCAUCCAACUUGCCUGUCGAUCAGGGCAGAAUCUAAGACGGCGACCGGCUAGGGUUAACUGCUUCACUCCAGCGGAUCUCGAAUAUGGAAUUGUCAUCUGACCCGAACCCGACUCUCCUACGGAGAGAUGAAAUUGGAAUCGGACGAGACAAAUUGGUAGUGGGAAGUUGGAGUUGGGAAAGUCAUGACCAACAACGAACAAAGGAAGAGCAAUAUGUUUCACGAUUUGAAUUGGCAUAAAGGUUUCGACAAUACGUCCAGGUCCAGAUGAUUGAUUAUGCAUUUUUCCUUCGAAACACUGCAAUGGCAAGUCGGCAACGGCUGUCCUCUUUAGUUUAUUAUCUUUCAGAAGUUAAGGGACUGGGUUUGUGUUCAAUUAAAGUUCUCUUCGAGGUUGACCUGUAUUCGUUCCACCCUUCUUUUGGCACCCACAACGGCAGCCGCGGGAUUGGUUCUAUUAUCGGUGGAUUAGCCAAAGGAACCAACUUCGGUUAGUUGAUUUUUCUUUUUGUUGCUGUCAAUUGUUCUUGAGCGAGUGUUUGAAGUUUUUUGGAUUCGUUGAACUUGGCAAUUCACAUUAAGUUGGUGUGAAUUGUCCCCCCUGUGAAUGGAUACCAAGGAUUUGGGUUUCAGUAAACAGGAUGACUUUUGGUCAUUGUUGGUGUAGGGGCUGUAGAAUUCGAUAACUCUGAUGGUACUGGGUGCUUGAUUGAGUUGUGUAAACUUACAAACUCUCACUUUCGAAAUUGUGGAGAGAUGACUAAUAAGUCAUCAUGAUAGAUCGUUAAAGUGGUCAGCCUAGAGGUUUUUAAUUGUUCAUGUUAGUCAAAAUACCGAGUCUUAACUCUCAAAAUGAGACCUUUUUCAUGGCCUCCUGUUAGCAAGCGUAUGAAUGUUAAUUUUCGUAGCAUUCAAUAUUUCAUGUUUGUUUGCCUCUUACACAAGAGGAGCCCUUAGAAAAGGAAGCCUACCCGGAACUGGCAGACCAGCAACAAAAAACAGACAGCGCUGCCCAGAAACACCCAAGAAACGCAGCAGGGUCACUACGAACCAGAGGUGCUCCAAAACAUCCAAAAUAACCUGAUUCCACAUACCCAGCUUCUCACGUGAAAACAACCAUGCAGCGCCUAACCAAACUCCUGCAUUGAGCAGUGCUUUUCUAACCACCGCACCAGAGGAAUAAAUCUUGUCGUUAAAUGUCCGAUCAUUUCUUUCCAGCCACAGAUUCCAGAGGAUUGUAUUAUUAUGUACCUAGCUUUGUAUUCAAAUUGAUAUAGCGCUGGCCAUGAGAACAAGUGUCGAGAAAGGUAGAGAUAUUGCCACCCUUCUUGAUAAGGUCAGUCUAUAUCAGUUCAUUACUUGCUUAAUUUUGUAGUUCUGGUGCGGGGAAAGAUGAUACUUCGUGUUAAUUGGUGGUCAGGUACUAAUUAAGCGGCACCUAGCUAAGUGUAUUCCUAUCUGAGCCAGCUCUUCUAUUAACCACCGACCCAACUCAAGUGGGUUCUUCCAUCUGGCAUCGCCAAAGUAGUUAUAUAUGACUGACUGACUGACACACGUAGCUUUACAUAUGGUUUAACAACAAGCCAAGCAUAUAAGGCUAUGAUAUGGCUUUCUGUAACAUAUUGUAAGCUUCCUGCUAAUAGAUUUUUUAAAGCAUUCUCUACUGGGAUCCAUGACGUGUUAUGUUGUUUGUAGGAGUCUGGGUACGAUGGGGGUUAGUAGCAAGGCUAAAGUUAAUGGUUUUGAGUGCACGAUAAUACUACUAACAACAGAGUUAUGGGGUGGUGAAUAGGGAAUGAAGUUACUGGUAACUUCAAGACCAUUUCAGUAUGGUUCUAACUGGGAUAGUUUAGAAUUAUGUAGAAGAUACACGAGGUUGCGAGGUGUUGAGAAGAUCAUGUCAAAUUGGGCCAGACAGCUUAACUACCAUGAAUGUUUCUGUACAAACCCAGUAUGUGUUUUAUCGCAGCAAAGGCUGGGCCCAGCCCAUUAAAAAUCAUUGAUUAAACUGAGAUUAACCAAUAAGUUUCAGCCCAACGAGCCAGCUUAAUUAGUAUUUCGGAGGUCAAAACUAUAAACCAAUUGGUCGUACAAUCAAUCAUAUUUUUUCACAACUCAAUUUCAUAAAGUCAAUAUGUGUCAACAACGAGUCAACCAUUAGCCAACUAACUCCAUAAAUCUAUCUGUUCAUCAUACUGUGGUGAGAGGUUUCCCUGGCAGACAGUAAAAUAUUAAUGACGCCUUAUUUCAUCUGUCUACUCUCCGUAACCGUUUCAAAGAACACUCUAUACCCACAUUAAUUACCUUCUGACUGACGAAUUACAGUCGAUGGUCCAUAAAGUUUUUAAAUAUUAUCAACCGUAAAAAAUUACUAAACAGUUGAUAUUAAGUUUAUUUUUCAAAAAUGACACAAAUUUCAUAAAACUACGGUAAAAAAACAGUAAAUCUGCUAAUAUAAAUUUUACAGGGAUACCGUUGGAUGGAGUUGAUGGCUUUAAUAAUCAUCAUACAUGUAAUCGGCAAGAUAAAUGAGAAAGGGAAUCAUAAAUCCAGUGUUUAAAAAAGAGUGAACAAGAUCAACAAUAUUCAACCACCCCCCAACCGUAUGAAUUUAUUAUGUUUCCUACUACUACUACUACGUCGUACUGAGUAAACUUCAUGGCUAGCUGGGCCCUGAUCUAUAAAUUGCGGGCAUUUGCCACUACUGAUCUGCACGCUCUCUCAAAACACAAAAAGAAUCAUAUAAUACACUUGCUACAUAUUGUUCUCUCUGCUGCUUGUUUAUUCCGAUGGAGAAGUUAAAAAAAGUGACGAGUUUGAAGAAUAGUAGUGGAGUGUUACUGUUAGCUGUUGUGGUAUGUAGUUUGUUAGUGAUGGCGGAGGUAGCACAGUGCCGCGAGCUCUCUAAUAACAAGACGAUCGUUGGAACUCAGCUGGACAUCCCUGGAGGAGGAAACCCGUUUCUGGGUUUUAUAUGUCAGCUUUGUCAAGCGUCCGGUGGACCCGCUGCACCAGGUGGACCGGUGGGACCAGGUGGACCAGGGGGACCAGGUGGCGGCGGCGGUGGUCAAGGAGGAGGUUCUGGUGGGGGUAGUGGUGUUGGAAGUGGACCGGGAGGGAGUGGUGGAGGUGGUGGUUAUGGUGGCGGCAGUGGUGGGGGUGGACCUGGAGGCGGAAGUGGCGUAGGAGGAGGUUCUGGUAGUGGUAGCGGUAGUGGAAGUGGAUCGGGAGGUGGGGGUGGAGGUGGCGGCAGAGGUGGAGGAAGUGGGGGAGGAGGUGGACCUGGUGGCGGUAGUGGUGCAGGAGGAGGUUCUGGUAGUGGUAGUGGAAGUGGAUCAGGAGGCGGCGGUGGAGGUGGCGGAAGUGGGGGCGGUGGUGGAUCUGGUGGCGGUAGUGGUGCUGGAGGAGGUUCUGGUGGAGGAAGUGGUGGAGGAAGUAGUGGAGGAGGUGGCGGAGGUAGUGGAGGAGGUGGUGGGGGCGGUGGUGGAAGUGGAGGAGGUGGUGGGGGUGGCGGUGGAUCGGGAGNNN